rnacentral:rRNA from 1 species
AUUGAACGCUGGCGGCAGGCCUAACACAUGCAAGUCGAACGAGUGGCGGACGGGUGAGUAAUGUCUGGGAAACUGCCCGAUGGAGGGGGAUAACUACUGGAAACGGUAGCUAAUACCGCAUACCAACGGAUGUGCCCAGAUGGGAUUAGCUAGUAGGUGGGGUAACGGCUCACCUAGGCGACGAUCCCUAGCUGGUCUGAGAGGAUGACCAGCCACACUUGAACUGAGACACGGUACAUGCUCCUACGGGAUGCAGAAGUGGGGAAUAUUGCACAAUAGGUGCAAGCCUGAUGCAGCCAUGCCGCGUGUAUGAAGAAGGCCUUCGGGUUGUAAAGUACUUUCAGCGAGGGGGCUUUACUCGCAGAAGAAGCACCGGCUAACUCCGUGCCAGCAGCCGCGGUAAUUC